UGGGGAAUAUUGGACAAUGGGGGCAACCCUGAUCCAGCCAUGCCGCGUGAGUGAUGAAGGCCUUCGGGUUGUAAAGCUCUUUCGCACGCGACGAUGAUGACGGUAGCGUGAGAAGAAGCCCCGGCUAACUUCGUGCCAGCAGCCGCGGUAAUACGAAGGGGGCAAGCGUUGUUCGGAAUUACUGGGCGUAAAGCGCACGCAGGCGGCGCGACUAGUCAGAAGUGAAAUACCUGAGCUCAACUUAGGAAUUGCUUUUGAAACUUUCGCGCUAGAAUCAUGGAGAGGAUAGCGGAAUUCCGAGUGUAGAGGUGAAAUUCGUAGAUAUUCGGAAGAACACCAGUGGCGAAGGCGGCUAUCUGGCCAUGUAUUGACGCUCAGGUGCGAAAGCGUGGGGAGCAAACA
rnacentral:rRNA from 1 species